GUUACGUAAAGUAUUGGUAAUUUUUGGUAAUUCCGUGACUUACCAAUUGACAACGUAACUACGACGUCGCAUGCCCGUGAUUUUGUUACCCUCCCAUUACCAACUCACAACGUCGUCAGUACGUCCUUCCAACGUGACCAGAUAACCAAGACCGUCUCAGACAGGUUCUCUAUUCGUAAUAUAUUGGUAACUUCAUGACUUACUGGCAACGUAACUACAACGUCGUAUGCACGUAAUUUCAUUACCAUAACUUUUAUACUGUAUCAGGAGGACAGCGCGUUUGUUUGAGGCACUUUUCACUUCAACUGUGUCUGACGGGAGAAUUAGCUUUUCUGAGCUUACUAGCCGUUGAGAGUUACCAUGGCAACCACGGGCACGUCAUCAGCUGCUGGAGAGGAGAGGACGCGUCUGACACUUUCUCUGUUUCUCGUCAGUUAUACCAAAGAAAAGUUCAACAACUGCGACAGAUUGUUUGUUUAUUUCUAAUAAGGAGCUGGAGGCCGUGGAGAAGCAGAUCCAUGACCUCGUGGAGAAGCAGAUCCGUGACCUCGUGGAGAAGCAGAUCCGUGACCUCGUGGAGAAGCAGAUCCGUGACCUCGUGGAGAAGCAGAUCCGUGACCUCGUGGAGAAGCAGAUCCGUGACCUCGUGGAGAAGCAGAUCCGUGACCUCGUGGAGAAGCAGAUCCGUGACCUCGUGGAGAAGCAGAUCCGUGACCUCGUGGAGAAGCAGGUCCGUGACCUCGUGGAGAAGCAGAUCCGUGACCUCGUGGAGAAGCAGGCUCAGCUGAGAGAGCGGAGAGCCGUGCUGGAAACAUUCAGGGGUUGACGCUCAUAAGUCCGGGGUAAGUAUACAGCACGCUGCUAACUCUCCCACCCCCUCUACUCUGUGUGGUUCUCUGCACAGGCCCGGUGUACCCAGGACGCAAUCUUCCCAGAUGUCCUUCACCCCGUGUCACAGCGGAAGACAUGAGCCAGGUCCUGGGCGACAGCCUCCACCAGAAACCGAUUUGCUCCACUUCGCGAGACAGAACACGAUGCUGUGAUCGUCGGAGACUCCGUCGUCCGGCACGUUCGUGCUAUGUUAGCUGGAGGUAAUGUGCACACUCACUGUUUCCCUGGUGCUCGUGUUCUUGAUAUUUCUGCGCAGAUACCCGCGAUCCUGAAGGGUGAAGAGAGCAUCGGAGCGGUCGUGCUUCACGCCGGGGUUAACGACACCAAGCUGCGGCAGACGCAGACACUAAAGAGGGACUUCAGGAGCCUGAUCGAGACGGUGCGCAGCAUAUCGCCUGCACGAUGAUCAUCAUGUCAGGACCGAUUCCCAUGUAUCGAUGAGGACACGAAAGGUUCAGUAGACUUUUUGCUCUAAAUGAAUGGUUAUUGUCAUGGUGUAAAGAACAGAAACUGCUCUUUGUUAAUAAUUGGAAUCUUUUCUGGGAGCGACCUAGGCUUUUUCGCGCUGAUGGCCUGCACCCCAGCAGAGUCGGAGCAGAACUGCUGUCAGACAACAUCUCCAGGACUCUACACUCCAUUUGACUAGUAAGCCAAUUCUCAAAUAACUGCUAUGAUGGCUUUUGUUCUACCCACUUAAAUAGUACUUGUGCUGUCCAAUCAAUAAAGACUGUAUAUGUUCCA
ensembl:lncRNA